GCCGCCGCCGCCGCUGCUGGCCGGCGCCACCGCCGCUGCCUCGCAGGAGCCCGACAGCCCGUGCCGGCUGAAGACCGUCACGGUGUCCACACUGCCCGCCCUGCGGGAGAGCGACAUCGGCUGGAGCGGCGCCCGCGCCGGGGCCGGGGCUGGGACCGGGGCCGGAGCCGCCGCCGCCGCGUCCCCGGGCUCUCCUGGCUCUGCCGGCACAGCCGCCGAGUCGCGCCUCCUGCUCUUUGUGCGCAACGAGCUGCCGGGGCGCAUCGCGGUGCAGGACGAUCUGGACAACACCGAGCUGCCCUUCUUCACCCUGGAGAUGUCUGGCACAGCGGCGGACAUCUCGCUGGUGCACUGGAGACAGCAGUGGCUGGAGAAUGGCACCUUGUACUUCCACGUCUCCAUGAGCAGCUCCGGGCAGCUGGCCCAAGCCACCGCCCCAACUCUCCAGGAGCCCUCGGAGAUUGUUGAGGAGCAGAUGCACAUCCUCCACAUUUCUGUGAUGGGUGGCCUCAUCGCGCUGCUGCUGCUGCUGCUGGUGUUCACCGUGGCGCUGUACGCCCAGCGACGUUGGCAGAAGCGUCGCCGCAUCCCCCAGAAGAGCGCAAGCACAGAAGCCACUCAUGAGAUCCACUACAUCCCAUCUGUGCUGCUGGGUCCCCAGGCGCGGGAGAGCUUCCGUUCCUCCCGGCUGCAAACCCACAAUUCCGUCAUCGGCGUGCCCAUCCGGGAGACUCCCAUCCUGGAUGACUAUGACUGUGAGGAGGACGAGGAGCCACCUAGGCGGGCCAACCAUGUCUCCCGCGAGGACGAGUUUGGCAGCCAGGUGACCCACACUCUGGAUAGUCUGGGACGUCCAGGGGAAGAGAAGGUGGACUUUGAGAAGAAAGCAGCAGCUGAGGUGACUCAGGAGACAGUGGAGUCCCUGAUGCAGAAGUUCAAGGAGAGUUUCCGCGCUAACACGCCCAUCGAGAUCGGUCAGCUGCAACCAGCCCUGCGCAGCACGUCGGCAGGAAAGAGGAAGCGGAGGAGCAAGUCUCGAGGGGGAAUCAGCUUUGGGAGAGCCAAGGGGACGUCGGGCUCUGAGGCAGACGAUGAAACGCAGCUGACGUUCUACACGGAGCAGUACCGCAGUCGCCGCCGCAGCAAAGGUUUACUGAAAAGCCCAGUGAACAAGACAGCCCUGACAUUGAUUGCUGUGAGCUCCUGCAUCCUGGCCAUGGUGUGUGGCAGCCAGAUGUCUUGUCCCCUCACUGUGAAGGUGACUCUGCAUGUGCCCGAGCACUUCAUAGCAGAUGGAAGCAGCUUCGUGGUGAGUGAAGGGAGCUACCUGGAUAUCUCCGACUGGUUAAACCCGGCCAAGCUUUCCCUGUAUUACCAGAUCAAUGCCACCUCCCCAUGGGUGAGGGACCUCUGUGGACAAAGGACAACAGACGCCUGUGAGCAGGUCUGCGACCCAGAAACCGAAAGAUAAUCAUUAAGCAUUUACCAGCACAACACUGGAUGAGAUGAGAGCAAACCAAUGAAAGACCAAGGCAAAAAAGUGGCUAGUGGAGACCUGAACAUGUCACCAGAGUGACAUUGUGCUCCUUCCCAGGAUAGACUACCAUUAUCUUCAUCUCUCUGAGAACAGAAAGUGAACAUCCAAGGACUACUUGCUCUGGUCCAAUAAAAUGCAACACCAAACAGUUGAUAUCAUUAGGCUUUGACUUUCAAGAAUAUCAGUGUGGUAGUGUCUUAUUGUGAAACAGCUUUAUUAAAGUUCUGCACAUCUGUGGCAUCACACCAAGUUCUGUAAAUAAAACCUUUGACAAUAUGGUCUACGACACAUGAAGCAAAUGACAGCAGAACACUAACUCAUUCUUUCGUGUGUUUAUUCAUUCAUUCAAGCACUUAGUGAACCAGAGUAGAAUUGGAAUAUCUUCCUGAGUCAGACACAGCCAGGUGUAAAUUCUCUCUUCUCUGUUUCCUGGUUGUAGGGAGCUGGGUAAAUCAUUUAACAUAUUCAAGCCUCAUUUUUUAUAACUAAAAUGAGAAGAAUAAUUUCAACUUUUAGAGUUGUUGUAAGGAUGAGAUGAAAAUAAAAUUUAAAAUUCACUGGUGCAGUGGACAAUAUAUGGUGGAAACCCAAUACAAGGUUUUCUCUUAUUUUUAUAAUCAGUUAUUCAGUCAUGUGUAUCUUCACUUAUUAGUUCAAUAAAUAUUUCAUGAGCUGUUUAAUCCAACAAUGUGCAUAGCAUUAGAUUAUGUGAGAAAAAAAUAUAAUAUAAUCUCUGCCCUCUAGUAGCUAACCAGCUGAAGGAGGAAUUUAGAGUAAGCUAGACCUUCCUAUCUUUUAUUUAUUUAGUCCUUGUGUGACUUCUGAACUUUUGCAGUGAAAAAAAUUACUGGCCAGGCAUGGUGGCUCAUGUCUGUAAUCCCAGCACUUUGGGAUGCCAAGGCAGGUGGAUUACUUGAGGCCAGGAGUUCGAGACCAGCCUGGCCAACACUGUGAAACUCUGUCUCUACUAAAAAUACAAAAAUUAGCUGAGCAUGGUGGUACAUGCCCGUAAUCCCAGCUCUUUGGGUGCUGAGGCACAAGAAUUGAUUGAGCCUGAGAGGUGAAGGUUGCAGUGAGCUGAGAUUGCACCAGCGCACUCCAGCCUGGGUGACAGAGUGAGACUCUGUGAGAAAGAAAGAAAGAAAGAUAGAGAGA
rnacentral:lncRNA from 1 species